rnacentral:rRNA from 1 species
AGCGAACGUUAGCGGCGGGCUUAACACAUGCAAGUCGAGCGAGAAAGGGGCUUCGGCCCGUGAGUAAAGCGGCGGACGGGUGAGUAACACGUAGGUAAUCUUCCCUUGAGCGGGGGACAACGAUUCGAAAGGAUCGCUAAUACCGCAUAAGUUUCCAGAGACUCUGGUCUUUGGAAGGAAAGCUAGGCAGCAAUGUCCGGCACUCGAGGAGGAGCCUGCGUCGCAUCAGCAGUUGGU